GGCGGACCGGCGCGACGGGUGAGUAACGCGUAUGACCAACCUACCUAUACGAGGAAGGGGAACUAACCCGGACGAAAGUCGGACUAAUACCGCAUAAAACAGGGGCACCGCAUGGUGAUAUUUGUUAAAGAAAUUCGCUGAUAGAUGGGCAUGCGUUCCAUUAGGUAGUUGGUGAGGUAACGGCUCACCAAGCCGACGAUGGAUAGGGGAACUGAGAGGUUGGUCCCCCACACUGGUACUGAGACACGGACCAGACUCCUACGGGAGGCAGCAGUGAGGAAUAUUGGUCAAUGGGCGAGAGCCUGAACCAGCCAAGUCGCGUGAAGGAAGAAGGAUCUAUGGUUCGUAAACUUCUUUUGCAGGGGAAUAAAGUGCAGGACGUGUCCUGUUUUGUAUGUACCCUGAGAAUAAGGAUCGGCUAACUCCGUGCCAGCCGCAGC
rnacentral:rRNA from 1 species